ACGGGUGAGUAAUGUCUGGGAAACUGCCUGAUGGAGGGGGAUAACUACUGGAAACGGUAGCUAAUACCGCAUAACGUCGCAAGACCAAAGAGGGGGACCUUCGGGCCUCUUGCCAUCAGAUGUGCCCAGAUGGGAUUAGCUAGUAGGUGGGGUAACGGCUCACCUAGGCGACGAUCCCUAGCUGGUCUGAGAGGAUGACCAGCCACACUGGAACUGAGACACGGUCCAGACUCCUACGGGAGGCAGCAGUGGGGAAUAUUGCACAAUGGGCGCAAGCCUGAUGCAGCCAUGCCGCGUGUACGAAGAAGGCCUUCGGGUUGUAAAGUACUUUCAGCGGGGAGGAAGGUGUUGUGGUUAAUAACCGCAGCAAUUGACGUUACCCGCAGAAGAAGCACCGGCUAACUCCGUGCCAGCAGCCGCGGUAAUACGGAGGGUGCAAGCGUUAAUCGGAAUUACUGGGCGUAAAGCGCACGCAGGCGGUCUGUCAAGUCGGAUGUGAAAUCCCCGGGCUCAACCUGGGAACUGCAUUCGAAACUGGCAGGCUAGAGUCUUGUAGAGGGGGGUAGAAUUCCAGGUGUAGC
rnacentral:rRNA from 1 species